AUUGAACGCUGGCGGCAGGCUUAACACAUGCAAGUCGAGCGGGGGAAGGUAGCUUGCUACUGGACCUAGCGGCGGACGGGUGAGUAAUGCUUAGGAAUCUGCCUAUUAGUGGGGGACAACAUCUCGAAAGGGAUGCUAAUACCGCAUACGUCCUACGGGAGAAAGCAGGGGAUCUUCGGACCUUGCGCUAAUAGAUGAGCCUAAGUCGGAUUAGCUAGUUGGUGGGGUAAAGGCCUACCAAGGCGACGAUCUGUAGCGGGUCUGAGAGGAUGAUCCGCCACACUGGGACUGAGACACGGCCCAGACUCCUACGGGAGGCAGCAGUGGGGAAUAUUGGACAAUGGGGGGAACCCUGAUCUAGCCAUGCCGCGUGUGUGAAGAAGGCCUUAUGGUUGUAAAGCACUUUAAGCGAGGAGGAGGCUACUCUAGUUAAUACCUAGGGAUAGUGGACGUUACUCGCAGAAUAAGCACCGGCUAACUCUGUGCCAGCCGCCGCCGUAAGAC
rnacentral:rRNA from 1 species